rnacentral:rRNA from 1 species
AUGAAUUUUAGGAGGACUCUGACAGGAGACUCAAGAGAAUUGUGGGAUCAUAUAAAAUACGCAUGUAGUUCGGUGGUUCUGAGGGAUGAAAAUGAUAAGGUGAAAUGGAUACUGACAAAAAAGGGAAUUUAUACUAUAAAGUCUUUCUAUAGACACUUAAUAGAAAAUGGUAUCAAAUACCAACACUUAUAUAUGUGGAAACUUAAAAUGCCACCCAGAGUACAGGUCUUUAUGUGGCUAGCUCUUAGCAACAUCAUUCUCACAAAAGAUAAUUUGUUUCGUAGAGGAUGGAAAGGAGAUGAGAAAUGCCCAUUGCGUCAGCGUGAGGAAAGUAUAAAUCAUCUGUUUAUAUCAUGUUUAGUAGGUAGGCUACUAUGGAAUAUCUUAAAAUGUGCUUUGAAUUAA